rnacentral:ncRNA from 1 species
GAAUUAGCGAAGAACAGGAUUAGUAGCAACUUGGAUGGAAAAAAGAGAUCUAAUGGUAGGUGUGAAUUAGACCAGAAAAGAAGCGAAAUACAACCUGGGAGCUAAAACGAGUCAUUCACGUUACGAAUCUAGAGAGUAUGAAGAAGUUCAUAAAGCGAGGGUGGUACCGCGGCAGUAGUCGUCCCUUGU